GGGUUGUGAGGUUAAGCGACUAAGCGUACACGGUGGAUGCCCUGGCAGUCAGAGGCGAUGAAGGGCGUGCUAAUCUGCGAUAAGCGCCGGUAAGGUGAUAUGAACCGUUAUAACCGGCGAUACCCGAAUGGGGAAACCCAGUGUGACUCGUCACACUAUCAUUAACUGAAUCCAUAGGUUAAUGAGGCGAACCGGGGGAACUGAAACAUCUAAGUACCCCGAGGAAAAGAAAUCAACCGAGAUUCCCCCAGUAGCGGCGAGCGAACGGGGAGGAGCCCAGAGCCUGAAUCAGCAUGUGUGUUAGUGGAAGCGUCUGGAAAGGCGCGCGAUACAGGGUGACAGCCCCGUACACAAAAGCGCAUGUGCUGUGAGCUCGAUGAGUAGGGCGGGACACGUGGUAUCCUGUCUGAAUAUGGGGGGACCAUCCUCCAAGGCUAAAUACUCCUGACUGACCGAUAGUGAACCAGUACCGUGAGGGAAAGGCGAAAAGAACCCCGGCGAGGGGAGUGAAAAAGAACCUGAAACCGUGUACGUACAAGCAGUGGGAGCNNGUGACUGCGUACCUUUUGUAUAAUGGGUCAGCGACUUAUAUUCUGUAGCAAGGUUAACCGAAUAGGGGAGCCGGAGGGAAACCGAGUCUUAAUUGGGCGUUAAGUUGCAGGGUAUAGACCCGAAACCCGGUGAUCUAGCCAUGGGCAGGUUGAAGGUUGGGUAACACUAACUGGAGGACCGAACCGACUAAUGUUGAAAAAUUAGCGGAUGACCUGUGGCUGGGGGUGAAAGGCCAAUCAAACCGGGAGAUAGCUGGUUCUCCCCGAAAGCUAUUUAGGUAGCGCCUCGUGAAUUCAUCUCCGGGGGUAGAGCACUGUUUCGGCUAGGGGGCCAUCCCGGCUUACCAACCCGAUGCAAACUGCGAAUACCGGAGAAUGUUAUCACGGGAGACACACGGCGGGUGCUAACGUCCGUCGUGAAGAGGGAAACAACCCAGACCGCCAGCUAAGGUCCCAAAGUCAUGGUUAAGUGGGAAACGAUGUGGGAAGGCCCAGACAGCCAGGAUGUUGGCUUAGAAGCAGCCAUCAUUUAAAGAAAGCGUAAUAGCUCACUGGUCGAGUCGGCCUGCGCGGAAGAUGUAACGGGGCUAAACCAUGCACCGAAGCUGCGGCAGCGANNGUUGGGUAGGGGAGCGUUCUGUAAGCCUGUGAAGGUGGCCUGUGAGGGUUGCUGGAGGUAUCAGAAGUGCGAAUGCUGACAUAAGUAACGAUAAAGCGGGUGAAAAGCCCGCUCGCCGGAAGACCAAGGGUUCCUGUCCAACGUUAAUCGGGGCAGGGUGAGUCGACCCCUAAGGCGAGGCCGAAAGGCGUAGUCGAUGGGAAACGGGUUAAUAUUCCCGUACUUGGUGUUACUGCGAAGGGGGGACGGAGAAGGCUAUGUUGGCCGGGCGACGGUUGUCCCGGUUUAAGCGUGUAGGUGUGUGUUCCAGGUAAAUCCGGUUCACUUUAACACUGAGGCGUGAUGACGAGGCACUACGGUGCUGAAGUAACAAAUGCCCUGCUUCCAGGAAAAGCCUCUAAGCAUCAGGUAACAUCAAAUCGUACCCCAAACCGACACAGGUGGUCAGGUAGAGAAUACCAAGGCGCUUGAGAGAACUCGGGUGAAGGAACUAGGCAAAAUGGUGCCGUAACUUCGGGAGAAGGCACGCUGACACGUAGGUGAAGUGAUUUACUCAUGGAGCUGAAGUCAGUCGAAGAUACCAGCUGGCUGCAACUGUUUAUUAAAAACACAGCACUGUGCAAACACGAAAGUGGACGUAUACGGUGUGACGCCUGCCCGGUGCCGGAAGGUUAAUUGAUGGGGUCAGCGCAAGCGAAGCUCCUGAUCGAAGCCCCGGUAAACGGCGGCCGUAACUAUAACGGUCCUAAGGUAGCGAAAUUCCUUGUCGGGUAAGUUCCGACCUGCACGAAUGGCGUAAUGAUGGCCAGGCUGUCUCCACCCGAGACUCAGUGAAAUUGAACUCGCUGUGAAGAUGCAGUGUACCCGCGGCAAGACGGAAAGACCCCGUGAACCUUUACUAUAGCUUGACACUGAACAUUGAGCCUUGAUGUGUAGGAUAGGUGGGAGGCUUUGAAGCGUGGACGCCAGUCUGCGUGGAGCCGACCUUGAAAUACCACCCUUUAAUGUUUGAUGUUCUAACGUGGACCCGUGAUCCGGGUUGCGGACAGUGUCUGGUGGGUAGUUUGACUGGGGCGGUCUCCUCCUAAAGAGUAACGGAGGAGCACGAAGGUUGGCUAAUCCUGGUCGGACAUCAGGAGGUUAGUGCAAUGGCAUAAGCCAGCUUGACUGCGAGCGUGACGGCGCGAGCAGGUGCGAAAGCAGGUCAUAGUGAUCCGGUGGUUCUGAAUGGAAGGGCCAUCGCUCAACGGAUAAAAGGUACUCCGGGGAUAACAGGCUGAUACCGCCCAAGAGUUCAUAUCGACGGCGGUGUUUGGCACCUCGAUGUCGGCUCAUCACAUCCUGGGGCUGAAGUAGGUCCCAAGGGUAUGGCUGUUCGCCAUUUAAAGUGGUACGCGAGCUGGGUUUAGAACGUCGUGAGACAGUUCGGUCCCUAUCUGCCGUGGGCGCUGGAGAACUGAGGGGGGCUGCUCCUAGUACGAGAGGACCGGAGUGGACGCAUCACUGGUGUUCGGGUUGUCAUGCCAAUGGCACUGCCCGGUAGCUAAAUGCGGAAGAGAUAAGUGCUGAAAGCAUCUAAGCACGAAACUUGCCCCGAGAUGAGUUCUCCCUGAGACUUAGAGUCUCCUGAAGGAACGUUGAAGACGACGACGUUGAUAGGCCGGGUGUGUAAGCGCAGCGAUGCGUUGAGCUAACCGGUACUAAUGAACCGUGAGGCUUAACC
rnacentral:rRNA from 1 species